rnacentral:rRNA from 1 species
GGACUACUCGGGUAUCUAAUCCUGUUUGCUCCCCUUGCUCUCGCGCCUCAGCGUCAGGUCUAAGCUAGAAAAUCGCUUUCGCCACAGGUGUUCCUCCACAUAUCUACGCAUUUCACCGCUACACGUGGAAUUCCAUUUUCUCCGCCAUCCCUCUAGAUCUUCAGUUUCAAAUGCAGCUCCGAAGUUGAGCUUCGGAAUUUCACAUCUGACUUGUAGACCCGCCUACGCGCCCUUUACGCCCAAUAAUUCCGAUUAAUGCUUGCACCCUCCGUAUUACCGCGGCUGCUGGCAC